CAAGUGUCAGCAAGGCAAAUGGGACAAAUUCUGAGACUUGCAGACAGUAGACCAGCCAACCAUACCUGGCACUCAGGUUGAAGUUUACUACCAUUUCCAUGAGCAUCACUGCACAGUGCUGAGCUCUUACUUAGGUGGUUUGACAAGUCAAUGUCCUUCCUCCUUCGUUUCCCUUCUUGAGAUCUACUUCCACCAUGAAGACCGUGAGAAAAGACUCUGUCAUAUCCCUGUUAUCCUCAUGGAGAAAUGGACAAGAGAGGCAGCAAUGAAGAACACACCAUGACCCAACUAAGACAAGAAAGAUGAGGUUUGUAAGCCAAGACUAAGGAGAACACCUUUCAGAAUCUC
rnacentral:lncRNA from 1 species